rnacentral:rRNA from 1 species
UUAACACAUGCAAGUCUUUGGGCAAAGCUGUGCUUGCACAGUCUAGCCAAGGCGGACGGGUGAGUAACGCGUAAGGAACUUGCCCUGCAGUCAGGGAUAACAGACGGAAACGACUGAUAAAACCUGAUAAAGUCAGACGGACUCAUGUCCAGUCUGAUGAAAAGAAAUGCUGCAGGAGAGCCUUGCGUCCUAUUAGCUUGUUGGUGGGGUAACGGCCCACCAAGGCAAUGAUAGGUAGCCGGCCUGAGAGGGUGGACGGCCACAAGGGGACUGAGACACGGCCCUUACUCCUACGGGAGGCAGCAGUGGGGAAUAUUGGACAAUGGGGGCAACCCUGAUCCAGCAAUUCUGUGUGCACGAAGAAGGUUUUCGGAUUGUAAAGUGCUUUCAGCAGGGAAGAAAAAAAUGACGGUACCUGCAGAAGAAGCGACGGCUAAAUACGUGCCAGCAGCCGCGGUAAUACGUAUGUCGCAAGCGUUAUCCGGAAUUAUUGGGCAUAAAGGGCAUCUAGGCGGCCAGAUAAGUCUGGGGUGAAAACUUGCGGCUCAACCGCAAGCCUGCCCUGGAAACUAUGUGGCUAGAGUACUGGAGAGGUGGACGGAACUGCACGAGUAGAGGUGAAAUUCGUAGAUAUGUGCAGGAAUGCCGAUGAUGAAGAUAGUUCACUGG